UCCCUGGUGGUUCAGUGGCUAAGACUCCAAGCUCCCAAUGUUGGGACCCAGGUUCGAUCCCUGGUCAGGGAA
rnacentral:tRNA from 1 species